rnacentral:rRNA from 1 species
AGUGAACGCUGGCGGUAGGCCUAACACAUGCCAGUCGAACGGCAGCACAGUAAGAGCUUGCUCUUACGGGUGGCGAGUGGCGGACGGGUGAGGAAUACAUCGGAAUCUACUUUUUCGUGGGGGAUCACGUAGGGAAACUUACGCUAAUACCGCAUCCGACCUACGGGUGAAAGCAGGGGAACUUCGGACCUUGCGCGAUUGAAUGAGCCGCUGUUGGAUUAGCUAGUUGGGGGGGUAAAGACCCACCAAGUCGACGAUCCGUAGCUGGUCUGAGAGGAUGAUCAGCCACACUGGAACGGAGACACGGUCCAGACUCCUACGAGAGGCAGCAGUGGGGAAUAUUGGACAAUGGGCGCAAGCCUGAUCCAGCCAUACCGCGUGGGUGAGGAAGGCCUUCGGGUUGUAAAGCCCUUUUGUUGGGAAAGAAAAGCAGCAGGUUAAUACCCCGCUGUUCUGACGGUACCCAAAGAAUAAGCACCGGCUAACUUCGUG